GCUCCAGUGGCGCAAUCGGUUAGCGCGCGGUACUUAUAAUGCCGAGGUUGUGAGUUCGAUUCUCACCUGGAGCA